rnacentral:rRNA from 1 species
UACGUAGGCAGCGAGCGUUGUUCGGAAUUACUGGGCGUAAAGAGUGUGUAGGCGGUGCUCUAAGUUCGGAUUGUGAAAUUCUCCUGCUUAACUGGGAGGGUGCGCCGGAAACUGGAGUGCUUGAGCGUGGAGAGGAAGCGGAAUUCCUGGUGUAGCGGUGAAAUGCGUAGAUAUCAGGAGGAACACCUGUGGUGUAGACGGCUUUCUGGACCAUAGCUGACGCUGAGACACGAAAGCGUGGGUAGCGAAACAG